GUUGUUUUAUAGAGCUGAAAUAUAUAAAUGAUCAACCUGUAGUACCGUGCAGAUUGUCCUCUGUGAAACGCUAGGCAGUCACAUUGAGUGAAGUAAAAGAGGGACACCAAUGCGAAUUGAGCAUGAUUUGUUCACACCCCGACUCGUCUAAAAAAUCCAAGAUGUUGGUGCCAACCAUUUUUGCAAUCUUGGCGAUGCUGUCGCUCAUUUUUAUUCCAAAUGAUUUUGAAUAUUUUGUGAGUGAUAUUCCAAUUUCUCGUUGGUUUUUGGCAGUUUUUUUCAUCAUCGCGGCCGCUAUGUCCUUUUUCACUCAAUCAAAUAAACAGAAAAAAGAAGAACAGAUGAAACGGAAGCCAAGAGGUGCAUGUAAAGAUGGAAUGAAAGCGGCUACUAUUGAUCAGUAUGGAGAAGAUGUCAUAAGGCUGACCGAUAACAACCCUCGUCCUGAAAAGCUCAUGGACGAUGAAAUCUUGAUCCGCGUGAAGGCGGCUUCCAUCAAUCCAAUUGAUUUAAGAAUUAGUACAGGAUACGGAAGAGUAAUUCUAAACAAGAUGAGACGAGGUUUUAACUAUCCCGCUGGAGAUGGAAAGGAAUUCCCUAUAACCCUUGGUAGGGAUUGUGCUGGUAUAGUUGAAGCCGUUGGGAACAACGUCAAGAAGUUCAAAGAAGGUCAAGAGAUUUGGGGUGCAAUUCAUGUUGCUCGGCCCAAUGCGUGUUUAGCAGAAUUAGUCGUGGUGAAAGAAGGGGAAAUUAGCCUUAAACCAAGGGACAUUACCUUCGAACAAGCAGCGUCAAUUCCGUAUGUAUUUCUAACAGUCUGGAGCGCCAUAGAAGGUUGCAUCUCGGAGGAAGAUGCCAAAGGAAAAAGAGUGUUGGUACUUGGUGGCACCGGUGGAAUAGGAACAUUUGCUAUUCAACUUUUUAAAGCAUGGGGAUGUGAUGUCACCACAACUUGCAGCUCUACUGGAGCUUCAUUGGUUGAAAAACUUGGUGUUGAUGACGUAAUUGAUUACAAACUUCAAGAUUUGUCUGAAGCUCUAGAAGGCAAACCGAAAUUUGACUUAAUUUUAGAUACUAUUGGUCCGACUAUGUACAGUUCCUGCUUUAGUGCAUGUAAAUGGGGAGGCAGAAUUGUUUCUCUUGUUUCACCCGUAAUGCCCCUUGUUGAUGACCAUGGCCUUGUGCUUGGAGGCGUCAAGGUCUUCUGGCGAUACAUACAACUUAGUAUACUAAAGCGUUUAAUUUUUGGCAAACGAUUUUCUUGGGGAUUCUUUUCGCCAAAUGGAAAGGCUUUGAAAUAUGUUCGUAGACUUGUAGACGACAGAAAGGUGCGACCAGUUGUCGAAAAAAUAUUUAAUAUCGAGGAUGUAACUAAAGCAUUUGAUCAUGUAGCAGAGGGACAUUCUAGGGGAAAAACAGUCGUCAGGUUCUAAAGUCUUCAAAACGUAGGCUUACCGUUUAUGUUAUAGCAUAGGAUUAGCCUCCAUGGUUAUAGCAUAUUUUGCAUUUCAACUGUCACAAACGCUAGUAAACAAUGAAGCUACCAAGUAUUGGUAACAGGCGGGUAGUCUUAACAUGGUGCUAAUAAUAUAAACGGCAACAUUUACUAAUACAAAUUAGCAAUAGCCUAUGUCAUCGAAAUACGUUUCACCAUCUUGGUCAAUUACUAAUUAUAACCGAUCUAUCAGCCUUAUAUGAUGUAACCUUGUAAAAAGAAACUUUUUGAAAUAUGUGUGAUUGAGUACAUAAUAUUGCCUAUAUACUCCGGAAAGAUGGUAUAAGUUGCAGGUAUAUUUAUAAUAAUAAUAAUAAUAAUAAUAAUAGAUGGAUUUAUAUAGCGCAAAUAAACGAAAUAAAUUAGUGAAAUGAGCAAACUUUUUUGUUUAUCAAUCUUUGUCAAGCUUUGAUUGAACUUGAUAAAGGUUGAUAACCGAAUACGUUUGCUGACUUGACUUAAUAAAUAUACCAGGCAACUUAUUACCAUCUCCCCGGAGUUCUUUUGUUUUCAUUAUCUUGUUUGCCAAUGCAGCAUAUAUAUAUAUAUAUAUAUAUACAGUAUAUAUAUAUAUAUAUAUCUUAAAUAGUAUAUACUACUGAUUUCCUAGCUACGACUGGGUGACAUGACGUGUGAGCACAUAGGCCUAGUAUUAAUAAUCUUUUUUGAAUACAGUACAGUAUACACUUUUAUGCAGAUAUUUAUGCAUUAGCACACACUUAAACGUAGUGUAUCCAUGGGUAAAACAAGUACAAAACAGACACGUAGAUAUAAUACAAGGAGACAUUACGAAGCACGUUAAAAUGCAAUGUUAGGAUAAUAUGUUUAAAGAACGAUGGAAAUACCAAUUAAUAAAAUUUGAGAAAAAUGGGGAAAAAAUUGGAUAUACACUGUAAGUGUUAGUACCGAAUGUUUGCGUGGGUGCUGUUUGAGCUAAAAUAGCUUAAAAAUCAUAUAUAGUACCAAGAAGCCUAGAACUAUGUAUUUUAUCUUUGUCAUGUUAUCUAUGUUAUCUAUGUCGAUUCUGUCUGCCUGUAAACCUUUCAAAUGUUGGUCGUAGUCACACUGGAUAGCUUGAAGGACUUUACACAGGGCGAGGUGCUUUGUGAAGUCAACAUCGUCAUCCGUGGGACCUUCUCCUUCAUCAUCUAUCAGAUAAUUAUCAAUGAACAAAGCCCGUGAGGAACCUGAUGAUGAUAAUAAUAAUAUAUAAAUUAAUUUCGCCAGUAAAAAGAAAUUAAAGACCCCUUUCAAUGUUUACAUUGGCCUGGCUGAAUGGAUGGCGGCGCACUCCACUGGUAGGCAACAGAGCCGUAGACUUUACGUACUGUAAAUAUUGAAUAAAAAAAAACAUAAUAUAUAUAACUAUGCCAUGUAAAUUUCAUCCGUGUUGCUUUCGUAUUUGGGCACAACAAAAAUACAGAUAAUCAGAAGCAUUAUACUGCUUUGUAUACUCGGCAAAUAUUUUGCCUACCGGGGGCGGGGGGGGGGUGCGUUGCCGGAAUUUCAGCCAGGCCAAUGUAAACAUUGAAGAUGUCUAUACUACACUCCACAUAUCCCUGUCCCUAUCCUACGGAAGCCCGUUAGUGGCAUUAGUGCCACCAGUGAAUUAAAAUUUCAGAGCCGUUAAGUGGCUGCUGCCAGAUAAUUAUGUGGCGGCCGCCACUUAAUUAUCUGGCGGCCGCCAGAUAAAUAUCUGGCGACCGGCUGUUAACGGCUCUGAAAUUUUAAUUCACUGGUGGCACUAACGUGCUUCUGUACUAUCUGUAUCCCUGUCAUAAAUAUUUUGUAGAUCAGUGAAUAAAUACUGUAAACUUGUAUUUUA
rnacentral:misc_RNA from 1 species